UUUUUAUGAGAGUUUGAUCCUGGCUCAGGACGAACGCUGGCGGCGUGCCUAAUACAUGCAAGUCGAACGCUUCUUUUUCCACCGGAGCUUGCUCCACCGGAAAAAGAGGAGUGGCGAACGGGUGAGUAACACGUGGGUAACCUGCCCAUCAGAAGGGGAUAACACUUGGAAACAGGUGCUAAUACCGUAUAACAAUCGAAACCGCAUGGUUUUGAUUUGAAAGGCGCUUUCGGGUGUCGCUGAUGGAUGGACCCGCGGUGCAUUAGCUAGUUGGUGAGGUAACGGCUCACCAAGGCCACGAUGCAUAGCCGACCUGAGAGGGUGAUCGGCCACAUUGGGACUGAGACACGGCCCAAACUCCUACGGGAGGCAGCAGUAGGGAAUCUUCGGCAAUGGACGAAAGUCUGACCGAGCAACGCCGCGUGAGUGAAGAAGGUUUUCGGAUCGUAAAACUCUGUUGUUAGAGAAGAACAAGGAUGAGAGUAACUGUUCAUCCCUUGACGGUAUCUAACCAGAAAGCCACGGCUAACUACGUGCCAGCAGCCGCGGUAAUACGUAGGUGGCAAGCGUUGUCCGGAUUUAUUGGGCGUAAAGCGAGCGCAAGCGGUUUCUUAAGUCUGAUGUGAAAGCCCCCGGCUCAACCGGGGAGGGUCAUUGGAAACUGGGAGACUUGAGUGCAGAAGAGGAGAGUGGAAUUCCAUGUGUAGCGGUGAAAUGCGUAGAUAUAUGGAGGAACACCAGUGGCGAAGGCGGCUCUCUGGUCUGUAACUGACGCUGAGGCUCGAAAGCGUGGGGAGCAAACAGGAUUAGAUACCCUGGUAG
rnacentral:rRNA from 1 species